CUCAUUCUUGUAUGCUUUUCUCAGAAGGAAAGAAAACAAGAAGGCUUUUGAGGGGACACUUGCUGGGACAGGCACUAAGCCUUCUACAGUUUGAUAGCUCUAACCAGCAGAUACAGACUUCUCAGUAGGAAGGGGUGAGGCAGCUGUCCUGAGCCAGGAGCUCCACCAUAUCGUGUCCCAUCCUGUUAAGGCAAUUUUGAGAGGCUGCUCUGGAAUAUGUCUCAAUGGUGGAUGUAGGGAAACUUCACAGGCUUUGAUGGGACUGAGGUGGUGUCUGUUGUGUGAAGACAGGAGCUGAAUGCUCAGGAUCUAGGCUGCUUUUCUUGUGGUCAGUUGGGUUACCUGUUUGGGACCAAGUCCAUGUUUACUAAGGAGGCUGAAUAAAUUCUACAGAGGAAAGUGGAGCUCCCAGGAUGACCGAGGAAGGGUAAGAAAAGGGAUCUCCUUUACAGAAAAGGGCUCAGAUAAGAAGAGACAAUUCAAACAAAAAGCCGAGACCCCCUCCUCCCAUUCCAGUGAGAAGCACAGGCAAAGACAGGAACCAGAGUCGAGCUCACAUGAGGGAAACUCCAAGAAAAGGAAAAUCGGUUCCAAGGACAGCUGCCAAGACAGAGCUGGUAGAAUUUUGCCUUUUUCCCCCAAAGGGAAAAUAAGCAGUUGACUUUUAUAGAGGGUUUGAGCAGCAAGGUGACUGAAAAAAUUUUUGAGAUCCUGGCACUCAGAGAAUAUUUGGGGACUCAGAAGGUGUUAAAUUUCACUUCAUUUAAGUACUAAUAUGGUCAGGAUGGAGGGGAAGAUUCAAAUGUUCACCUGAAGGUGCAUGGGAGGUUUUGGAAAUGAGGGUCGGUGGGAACUGUGCUGGCGAGUAUCUCACUCACAUGCUUCUUUUGCGGGGAUCUGUCCAGGAGAGGAGCACAGCUUGAUGUUGAAAAAGAAACUAAAGUCCUCCACUUUGCACAGCAAUAAACUCAAGGAGACCUGUGAUGCCCACCACAGAGGGCCUUUCAUGACUCACACUGGGUGCACCAAGCAGCACAGGUCUCAGACCCUAGGAGUUCAAUGGCUGUCAUUUCAGAAAAGCUUGGUGACUUUACAAGCUGUGUCAAGGCCAUUUAUCAAGACCUAUACUGGGUAUCGGUGCAGCAGGUCCAUUCUCCACUGACCUGGGAGCAGCUCACUCAGCUUGCCCGGUUCUGGCGGCCUCUAUGUGCUCAGGUGCAGACCUUCUAUUUUAUAGCCACCCAGGUAGGUUAUGUCUUCCCUGCUAAGAACUGGCUUGUUUCAGCCACAUUGCCUGGCCCUGGGGAUCCAGCCCUGGAUAGAGAAGCCCAUCCCUUGCCUGGGCAGGAGAUAACUGAGCCUGUCAGUGGGUCAGAUGAGGCUUGAGCUGGGUGCACCCUGACCCCAUUCAGCAGAAAUUGCAGGUCUUGGAAUGAGAGCAAGAACCUGCUAUAGGAAAGUAGCUUGAACAAUAUACUCAAAAUGGUGAACCCUGCAUUUCACAGAGGGCUAAGAUUAUAAACAAAUUUUAUGUUUCUUGUUAGACAUUUGAUGUCUUUCAGAUGUCUGGUGACAGUCAUGCAUUUCUAUAUAAUCAGACAAAUAUUAGGAUGUAAUCAUUCAUAUGCCUUUGCAAAUUUUAAAUUGUAGAAAAAUAAAUAAAAAGUUAUAUGUUUCUCUUUUAAUUCAGAAAAGGCUGUAGCCUCUAACUUUCCCACGCUGAGCCCAUGGAGGACUAAUAUCCACAAAUCUUUAAUUGUACUCCCUGUGGGAAAAUGUUAAUAUAUUUUUACAGUUUAAUAAAAUUAUGGUGAAAUCAC